rnacentral:rRNA from 1 species
GACGAACCGUGCGAACGUUGUUCGGAAUUACUGGGCAUAAAGGGUGCGUAGGCGGCUUGUUAAGUCAGGGGUGAAAUCCCACGGCCCAACCGUGGAACUGCCUUUGAUACUGGCGAGCUUGAGUGCGUGAGGGGUAACCGGAACGAGUAGUGUAGCGGUGAAAUGCGUAGAUAUUACUCGGAAGGCCAAAGGCGAAGGCAGGUUACUGGUACGCAACUGACGCUGAGGCACGAAAGCGUGGGGAGCAAACAGG